rnacentral:lncRNA from 13 species
UUGACAUUCAAAGAAAGAUCACUUGGUUAUAUCGCCUAAAGAGAAAUGAAACAAAGAAGCAUACACGUCAAUAGAAAGUACGAGAGGAUUUCAGGAUUCAAAUCAUCCCGAAACUAUGUUUUCGAUCAUCAGACGCAUUUAAGUCGGUCUAUGUAUAUACGACACUUUGCCGAUUUUUUGCUCGGAGCUACGCGAUGACGUGUGACGACGCGUGUAUGGGUGUGCGCGUGUGCGCGUGUGUUUACGAGCAAAACUUUUGUCCUUCGUUGAGGGGUUAAAGGCCGAGCGAGAGCAGAGAGACGCGGGGAGAGAUGCGCUCCGGGGCCGCUUCUCUCCGAUCGAUCAGUCGAGCCUGUUAAACAGCCGGCGGAACGGCGACGGUUUAACCACUUUACCUGGAAUAACGUCUCCGACUGCCCAAGCUUAUCACGCGUCGUUUCAGGCGGCGACACGAGGCAAGGCAAAAUAUUCGUUUUGAGAAAUCCUGCAGUGAAAGGUCUCCAACGGAAUCGUCGAGAUUAACUCUCUUAGAGACACCCGACGACCGACGACCGACGCGACGUGUCGACAUAUGUAUAACACAGUGGUUAAUUUUUUAAGGUAACGCACAAAAUGAAAUUGCAUUUUAAAUAGCUUUUACUCCUCGUAGUUAUAGCGACUUCCUCGCUUUUAAGCGUAUUCGUGUUGUUCCACAUUAAAUAAAUGUGCGAUUCUUAUAUGGGUGCAUUAUUUAUAUAAACACUGUUAAAGUUUAUUCAUUGUGAGAAAGAAACAUCAAAUCGGAUAUAUCACGAUUUAAUCUUCUGUACGAGUAUGUAAUACAAGAAGAAAUCUAUAACAUACAUAACAUAAAUGCAAUUUUCUUUUAUAUAUCUGCUGCCUUAUAUUUUUCUAUAUUGUUUUCUCUAAAUUUAUUCAAAUUCUGUAAACAUUUUUUUUGUAACCUGACACUUUCAGUAGCGAAAUUCAGUAAUAAAGAAAGAUCGUUACAAUCCAACGAUCUUUCUUUCAUAAAUUUUAUCAGAAAUUUAGAAAAAACCGAUAUAUGCAAUCUGUCAACAGCAAAAUAUUGGUAUUAUUAUCAUUUUACGACAUACUUGGUUUUUUGUAUUAUGCGUCAUGCGAACCAACUUCAAUCGAUUAUAUAAUUAAAUUUAUUAUCUAUAACUAUAAAGCAUUAUGUAAUACGGAAAAGAGAUACGAGCUGAAUAAUUGUUGGAUCAUGAGAAAUCUCUAUUCUCAAAUAUCUGAAUGAAAAUCGCAUUCUAUAAAAAUAUCGUGCUCUUGCACCUGAAUCUGUUUUACCCGCCGCAUCGUCGAUACGCUUCUCUCGCCUCAUUCCCUCAUCUCCAACUCAUCGUUCGCUUUUGCAUUUUUUUUCUCAUCAAAAACGUUUUCACCGAAUAGCGCCGCGCGCCGCGCGCCGGAGAGCGUGCGCACAGCUUUUACGCAGAACACUCGGCGCAUUUUACAUCCCUGCGGCAACGAUGGAAAUUCAUCGCAUAGACUUACAUAAAUAUUUCCAUUACAGUUCUUUUCACUCUUUUAUCUUUGUUUCUCUCUCUUUCUCAUUUCUUUUCCUCUUUUACUCUUUUCAACAUGCUGUGGUAGAUACUCUUCGACUAUCGGAUACGUCACUUUUAAUUAACGUUGUCGCGCGUCAUUCGGAGCGAUUUAUUCCAAGUUGAAAUUAACGAUUGGACAAUCGUGCUUUCGUGCCGCGAGAAAAUGAGAAGAGAGAGAGAGAGAGAGAGAGAGAGAGAGAGAGAGAGAGAGAGAGAGAGAGAGAAGGAGAAGAAGAAGAAAGGCAGAGAGCGAACAAAAAAGUUAUACAAGACGAUUGUAAAACUAUAUUAUUGAUGUAAAUAAUUAUUUAUUUAUGACACAAUAAAUAUGUAAUUUAUAGUUGUUACACGCGUGCUGCAAUAUCACGUAUCUCUUGGCGAAUACGAAUUAAUUUAUUACAUUUUCUGCUAGUAUGUAUUCUGUAUCACCAAAAUAUACGAUGAAAAACGACAGUAAUAAUAAUG